AUCCGCGAGUGACAGACAUGCAUGCGCGCCGUCGUCCCUGGGGGCGUGGCUUUGUGCCCGCGGGGGCCGGAUGAGGGAAGGCUGCGCAGGCGCAUAGAGUAGUUGGUGGGGAUUUCUGGAGCGGCGGAAGCGUUUUGCGUUACCUGUGCAAAGAGGCGGAGUCAAGAUGGCGGUGUGGAAAGACGUGGAGUUAGUGUCUCCCCACAACUAGGGCGCCUGCCGGCUGCUGUCCUGGCAGCUUGCGGGAUCUUGGUUCACGAGCCCAGGGUCGGGCCAAAGCUCCUGCAGUGGGAACUCUGAGUCCAAACCACUGGACUAACAGAGAACCUCAGACCACAGGGAAUAUUCAUCGGAGUGACGUCUCAUGGAGUUCCUCAUCUCAGCACCAAGACCCAGCUUUACCCAAUAGCCUACAAACCCCAGAGUUGGAAACCUCAGGCCAAACAACCAGUAAGACAGGAACACAAUCCCACUCAUAAAAAAAAAAAAAAAAGAGAGACGGCAAAAAAAUAUGUCAUAGAUGAAGGAGCAAGGUAAAAACCUACAAGACCAAAUAAAUGAAGAGGAAAUAGGUAAUCUACCUGAAAAAGAAUUGAGAGUAAUGAUAGUAAAGAUGAUCCAGAAUCUCAGAAAUAGAAUGGAGGCGCAGAUUGAGAAAAUACAAGAAAUGUUUAACAAAGACCAAGAAGAACUAAAGAACAAACACAGAUGAACAAUGUAAUAACUGAAAUGAAAAAUACACUAGAAGGAAUCAAUAACAGGAUAACUGAGGCAGAAGAACAAAUACGUGAGCUGGAAGACAAAAUGGCGGAAAUAACUGCCGAGGAGCAGAAUAAAGAGAAAAGAAUGAAAAGAAUUGAAAACAAUCUCAGAGACCUCUGGGACAACAAUAAACGCACCAACAUUUGAAUUAUAGGGGCCCCAGAAGAAGAAGAGAAAAAGAAAGGGUCUGAGAAAAUAUUUGAAGAGAUUAUAGUUGAAAACAUCCCUAACACGGGAAAGAAAAUAGUCACCCAAGGCCAGGAAGCACAGAGAGUCCCAUACAGGAUAAACCCCAGGAAAAACACACCAAGACACAUAUUAAUCCGACUAACAAAAAUUAAGUUCAAAGAAAAAAUAUUAAAAGCAGCAAGGGAAAAACAAAAAAUAACAUACAAAGGAAUCCUCAUAAGGUUAUCAGCUGAUUUUUCAGUGGAAACUCUGCAGGCCAGAAGGGAGUGGCAGGAUAUAUUUAAAGUGAUGACAGGGAAAAACCUACAACCAAGAUUACUCUACCCAGCAAGGAUCUCAUUCAGGUUAGAUGGAUAAGUCAAAAGCUUUUCAGACAAGCAAAAGCUAAGAGAAUUCAGCACCACCAAACCAGAUUUACAACAAAUGCUAAAGAAACUUUUCUAAGUGGGAAACACAAGAGAAGAAAAAGACCCACAAAAACAAACCCAAAACAAUUAAGAAAAUGGUAAUAGGAGCAUACAUAUUGAUAAUAACCUUGAAUAUAAAUGGAUUAAAUGCCCCCACCAAAAGACACAGACUGGCUGAGUGGAUACAAAAACAAGACCCAUAUAUAUGCUGUCUGCAAGAGACCCAUUUCAGACCUAGGGACACAUACAGACUGAAAGUGAAGGGAUGGAAAAAGAUAUUCCAUGCAAAUGGAAAUCAAAAGAAAGCUGGAGUAGCAAUACUUGUAUCAGAUAAAAUAGACUUUAAAAUAAAGACUGUUACAAAAGAUAAGGAGGGACACUCCAUAAUGAUCAAAGGAUCAAUCCAAGAAGAAGAUAUAACAAUUAAAAUGUUUAUGCACCCAACAUAGGAGCACCUCAAUACAUAAGGCAAAUGCUAACAGCCAUGAAAGGAAAAAUCGACAGUAACACAAUAAUAGUAAGGGAUUUUAACACCCCACUUAUACCCAUGGACAGAUUAUCCAAACAGAAAAUAAAUAAGGAAACACAAGCUUUAAAUGACACAAUAGACCAGAUAGAUCUAAUUGAUAUUUAUAGAACAUUCCACCCAGAAGUGGCAGAAUACACUUUCUUCUCAAGUACUCAUGGAACAUUCUCCAGGAUAGCUCACAUCUUGGGUCACAAAUCAAACCUCGGAAAAUUUAAGAAAAUUGAAAUGGUAUCAAGCAUCUUUUCUGACCACAAUGCUAUGAGAUUGGAAUUCAAUUAUAGGAAAAAGACUGUAAAAAACACAAAUGCCUGGACGCUAAACAGUGCGCUACUAAAUAACCAAGAGAUCACUGAAGAAAUCAAAGAAGAAAUAAAAAAAUACAUAGAAACAAAUGACAAUGAAAACACAACGAUCCAAAACCUAUGGGAUGCAGCAAAAGCAGUUCUAAGAGGGAAGUUUAUAGCAAUACAAUCUCACCUAAAGAAACAAGAAAAAUCUCAAACAAUCUAACCCUACACUUAAAACAACUAGAGAAAGAAGAACAAAGAAAACCCAAAGUCAGUAGAAGGAAAGAAAUCAUAA